AUGGACAUGGACGCUCACACACAGCCAGCACUCACAGCCUUCACGCAGCUCGCCCGCGAGGAACACAUGGCCCAUUUCGCCUUCAGCUGGCAGGGCAUGGAACCCGCCCCCGCCGCCUCCCUGUCCGGCGCCGGUGCUACGCUGCCUCUCCACUCUGUCCAGGGCGCCGCCGCCGCGAGGAACAGCGCUGACGCCGCGAGGAACAGCGCUGACGCCUCGUACUGCCCCGACCCGGCUACGUACGCGCCCGCAGUCCUGGCCACGGUCCCGCCGACCAUUGCGGAGGCGGGAGCGAAGAGGCGCCAGGAUGCGGAGAACAUCGCGCUCUACCUCAUCCACAUCCUCCACAAGUGCGCUGAAGCCAUCGAGGCGGGCGACUAUGCGGUCGCGGCCGGCAAGCUCUCCGAGGCGCGCACGAUGCUCGCGACGUCUGUCUCGACGACCACUGGGAUCGGCCGUGUCGCCAGCCACUUCGCCGCCGCGCUGGCCCAUCGCCUCUUCCCGGCGUCCCCGCACUCCUCCUUCACGCUGGACGCCUCACCGGAGCGCGCCGGCGAGCUCUACCGUCAGUUCUAUGACGCGGGGCCAUACCUCAAGUUCGCACACUUCACGGCCAACCAGGCCAUCCUCGAGGCGUUUGAGGGCUGCGACCGCGUGCACGUCGUGGAUCUCGCCAUCAAGCAGGGCGUGCAGUGGACAACCCUCAUCCAGGCCCUCUCCAUCCGUCCCGGCGGCCCGCCGUCCGUCCGCAUCACCGGCAUCGGCUCCGCGCCCGCCGUCGACGAAGCUGGCCUCCGCCUCGCCGAGCUCGCGCGUGCCAUGAACGUGCCCUUCUCGUUUCAAAGGUUCACCGACGAUAGCCUGGACCAGCUCAAGCCAUGGAUGUUCCAGGUCCUGCCCGGAGAGGCGGUGGCCGUGAACUCCAUCUGCCAGCUCCACCGCCUCCUGGUGGACCCGGACGCCGCGUCCACGUCUCUCCCCACGCCCAUCGACGUCGUGCUCGGCUGGAUCGCGUCCAUGCAGCCCAGGGUUUUCACGGUCGUGGAGCAGGAGGCGGACCACAACAAGCCGAGGCUGCCGACGCGGUUCGAGAACGCCAUGUUCUACUAUGGCUCUGUGCUCGACUCCAUGGAGGCCAUGUCCGCGAGCCGCGGCGGCGUCAUCGGCAACGGAGCCGGCGCCGACGCGUACGUGCAGAGGGAGAUCUUCGACAUCGUCUGCGGCGAGGGCAGCGCCCGCACCGAGCGCCACGAGCCGCUCGCAUGCUGGUGCGCUCGCCUCUGGCGGAUGGGUCUCACCCACGUGCCGCUGGGUCCGAGCGCAGCCUAUCAGGCGGCCAAGCUUGUCCGCAUGUACUCCACCGCCGGGUUCCGCGUCCAGGAGAUCGGCGGCUGCCUCUCGCUCAUGUGGCACGAGCGGCCCCUGUUCACGGCGUCCGUUUGGAGCGCAAUGCCCGCAGAUGGCGCCGCCGAGGAGCGCGCCGACAAGCACAAGCUGAAGAUGAGCAUCGGCGAGAGUAGCAGCGGCCACCUGCCGGACGCCGGGGCGCAGUGA
rnacentral:rRNA from 1 species